AAAUGUUCUUGACUUUUGAUAAUCUUUUUUUACAGCGAGGAUUCCUGUUCGGCUGUACGUUCGAAGUGUAAAUAAAGAUUUCGAGAAUCUUGAAGAUGUGCCUGAGAUCGAUACAUGGGAUGAGAUUUCGUACUUGAAUCGACCUGUUGAGUUCCUCAGAGAAAAAGGUAAAUAAUUUAUCAGCUUAAAGAUCCGCUGCAUUGUACUUAGUAUCUUCACCAAUAAUAGAUUGUUGGCUUUAUGGACCUGUACUUGAAUCUCUCUUGUGUGAGUGAGAUAACUGAUUAGUUCCAGUAUCUUGUAACAGGGAAAUGCUACUUUACUCUGCGUGACGCCAUUGAAAGUCUC
rnacentral:lncRNA from 1 species